rnacentral:rRNA from 1 species
GACGAACGCUGGCGGCGUGCUUAACACAUGCAAGUCGAACGAAGUGGCGAACGGGUGAGUAACGCAUAAUCAACCUGCCCUUCAGAGGGGGACAACAGUUGGAAACGACUGCUAAUACCGCAUACUGAAGGAGGGGAUUGCGUCGGAUUAGCUAGUGGGAGGGGUAACGGCCCACCAAGGCGAUGAUCAGUAGCCGGUCUGAGAGGAUGACCAGCCACACUGGAACUGAGACACGGUCCAGACUCCUACGGGAGGCAGCAGUGGGGAAUAUUGCACAAUGGGCGCAAGCCUGAUGCAGCCAUGCCGCGUGUGUGAAGAAGGCCUUCGGGUUGUAAAGGACUUUUGUCAGGGAAGCGGUACCUGAAGAAUAAGCACCGGCUAACUACGUGCCAGCAGCCGCGGUAAUUC